GUCUCAUCCCGGUGGAGGGAGGAACUCUGAGUCUGGGGGUUGCCAAGAUUUCAGAGACGCAGGACUCUGUAGUCGAGACUUAAGGAGUCCAGCCAGCAAGGAUCUGGCAGAGUGAGAUGCUUGGGCCUCAGCUCUCUUCCCACAGUUCAUCUGCAAGGCUGAAUCCAUUGCUAGAGUCCAGGCCAUUCCGUGGACUCCUGUGGCUUUGAUGAAGAGAUGAAGUUUCCAAACUUUGCUGCCUCAGUCCAGCCCUCCUGGAGUGACUCACUAGUUUAGUUUCUUCUUUAAUGUUAGACCUGUGCAGUAUUGCAGCUGCUCUGUGUGGCUUGGAAAUUAUUUUGACAGAGUCUGGAAUAAAG